CUUACAUUCUCUUCAUACCAAAAAAUUGGUGGAAAAGAUAGGUUAAAAAAAUGGAGUCUAGACCCAAAUCCAAGAGCAAGAGGACUAACGAUGGCAAACCCUCAAUCCCUCUCGCAUCUCCGAUCAAAUCAAAACCCUCGACUUCCGCCUCCGAUCAGAUCUCGAUGCCGGAGAAGCCGAUCCAUGGUGCCCCUCGAACCCGCAAUCGGAGAAUGGCCUUAUCGAUCAAAGAAGUUAAGCAGAUCGCUCAAGGACUCCAUAGAAACACCAGACAGUCCUCGGAUCAAUCGGAUCUUGUGGGAUCCGAUACCGAACAGUUAGCGACAGAAGUUCGUAAGCCCUUGAGGGCUAAAACCCCCAUCAAGUUGCCGGAAAAGUGUGAGAUGUUGGCGGAGUUUUUUAAUUCCAUGGAGAGCUCGAUCCAAUUGCUUAGAAUGAAAGGAUCGCCGCCUACAUUUUCUAAUAUUUCUUCUAGCAUCCAGAAUAUGACUGAAAGGAGGUUUACAUGUUACUCUCCAAAUUGCCCGAGCUUCAUGUUACUCUCCAAAUUGCCUCAUUUGAGGAAACUGUGAAGGAGAAAGGAGAGAGUGGGUACUCGGUCUUGAGACGAGUGUUUAGAGAAAGGCUUGUGGAUUUUUCAAAGAGACACCCAUAGGGAGAUGACAUUCCGGAAGAGCAACUUCCGCAUCCAUUCAGCCAAACAAAGCAAACCAACAUUUCAAAUGAAUUAAGACACUACUCAACCAUCCCUCCAAUUAUUUCCUCAUCAGCCAAUGCUCAUUCUCAACAUGAACUCGCAGUACCUUCUCAUAUUUCUAGAUCUUUCCAAAGGAGAUUUUCUCAAAAAGUACCCAUCUCAGAUGCACAAAAAACUUCUCUCACAUGCCAUGACAGUUCACCUCCUAUAGACACUUCUCUCGAUCGACUCUAUCGCUCCAUCUCCUAUGAAACACGUUUCAAGACUGCCCUUAAGAAGGAAAUCAUUGCUUGGUUGCCCAAUUAUCUCUUCAUCAUCCAAGGCUCUUACAACUCGUGAAGAAGAAGAACCCAAAAUAGACAUAAUGCCUGAAAGCAUUUCUCAGAAAGAAGUAAAUGCUUUAGAGGGAACACCAGCCAAACUAAUUUGCACUCCAUCAAAGCUAAUGACUGCCACUCCAGAUAUUCAAACUCCAAAGAGACAACGUACAACCUCCAAUGGAUUGUGAUACCACACCACUGAAGAGGUCAACUAGGCGAUCGACUCAAACCAAAUUAUUAUUUAACACACCAAAAAAGAGUGCGACAAAAUUGGAUGAAGGAUGCUGAAACUAUUGCAAGAAUCGGUAUAACUCUUUCAUCAGUGGUUGAUGACGUUCUCCGUUUUCUACCUCAGUCUCUCUUG